GACAGAGGAGCCAAGCGUUGUCCGGAUUGACUGGGCGUAAAGCGCACGCAGGCGGCCCGGCGCGUGGGGUGUGAAAGCUGGCGGCUUAACUGCCAGAUGCCAUCCCAUACGGCUGGGCUCGAGCCCUGCAGAGGUCCAUGGAAUUGCUGGUGUAGUGGUGAAAUGCGUAGAGAUUGGGAAGAACACCCGUGGCGAAAGCGCUCUGCUGGACUGCAACUGACAUUGAGGGACGAAAGCUAGGGGAGCGAAUGGG
rnacentral:rRNA from 1 species